rnacentral:rRNA from 1 species
GGUCAAGUUAUUAAGGGCUUACGGUGGAUGCCUUGGGACCAAGAGCCGAUGAAGGGCGCGGCAAGGCUGCGUUAAGCCUCGAUGAGCCGUCUAGCGGGCAUAGUCGGGGAUACCCGAAUGGGGAAACCUUAUCCGGUGUUGAGUCGGAUAAUCCUUCCUGUAAAGGGAGGAGGGCAAGUGGGGGAACUGAAACAUCUAAGUACCCCGAGGAAAAUAAAUCAACCGAGAUUCCCUUAGUAGUGGCGAACGAACGGGGAUCAGCCUAAACCAGUAUGACUUAGUGGCAUAAGGGCCUAUGUUGUAUUGGGGUUGCAGGGAUUGCCUAGGGCCCCCUUAUGAGGCCCAAAGGAGUUACAAAUCUUAUUUCUAGUCGAAGGAUCCUGGGAAGGACCGCCAUAGAGGGUGACAGCCCCGUAGGCGAAAGGGAUAAGACUCCUGGCGUAUUACCUAAGUACCACGGGGCACGGGAAACCUUGUGGGAAUCUGGGGGGACCACCCUCCAAGGCUAAAUACCCUUGGUCACCGAUAGCGUACCAGUACCGUGAGGGAAAGGUGAAAAGAACCCCUAGCGGGGAGUGAAAUAGAUCUGAAACCGUAAGCCUACAGAAGGUCGUAGUCCCGACUUUGUCGGGAUGGCGGCGUGCCUAUUGAAGAAUGAUCCUGGGACUUACUGUAUGGAGCAAGGUUAAGGAACUGUAGUUCCGGAGCCGAAGCGAAAGCGAGUCUGAAUAGGGCGCCAAGUUCCAUGUAGUAGACUCGAAACCGGGUGAGCUACCCAUGGCCAGGUUGAAGGUCCGGUAAAACGGACUGGAGGACCGAACUCGUGGCUAGUACAAAAGCUUGGGAUGAGCUGUGGG